AACUGAUACUACCUGCGGGAACCUGCGGAGGGAUCAUUACAGAGUUGCAAAACUCCCACACCCUCGCGAAUGUACCCGUCCCGUUGCUUCGGCGGGCCGCCCCGGGGCCGCCCCGCGGUCCCUAAGCGCCCCGCCGAAGGCCCUAAACCCUGUGUCCUGUGGUGGCCUCUCUGAGUUACCAUAUCGAAUCAGUCAAAACUUUUAACAAUGGAUCUCU
rnacentral:misc_RNA from 1 species